AGAAUAGUAAGCUAAUUAAGCUAAAGGGUUCAUAUCCCUUUUAUGGAGGUUAAGUCCUUUCUAUCUUG
rnacentral:tRNA from 1 species